rnacentral:rRNA from 1 species
UACGGAGGGGGCUAGCGUUGUUCGGAAUUACUGGGCGUAAAGCGCACGUAGGCGGCUUUGUAAGUUAGAGGUGAAAGCCCGGGGCUCAACUCCGGAACUGCCUUUAAGACUGCAUCGCUAGAAUUGUGGAGAGGUGAGUGGAAUUCCGAGUGUAGAGGUGAAAUUCGUAGAUAUUCGGAAGAACACCAGUGGCGAAGGCGACUCACUGGACAAAUAUUGACGCUGAGGUGCGAAAGCGUGGGGAGCAAACAGG